GGCGUUGGAUCCAUAUCCACAUAGAGAGAAGAACAGAGAAGAAACUACAAUAGUGUAAUAUGCCACAACAGAAUAUUGUGUAAUAUGCAGAUCGUUAUGGUCUUACUCACAUUUCAUAGAGCUAAAACAAGCUCUGGUGUUGUUUGCAUUCAGUGGUGUUGAUCCCCCACUGGUGGGAUAUUGGUGAGUAUACAUCCAGUAAAAAUCUCAGUAGUGUUGUAACCCAAAAGAAAAAAAAACAAGGAGCAAUAAUGUUUUCUGUAUAAAACUUACUUAACAUUUAUAAAAGGUCUUAUACUCAC